UGGGGAAUAUUGGACAAUGGGGGCAACCCUGAUCCAGCCAUGCCGCGUGAGUGAUGAAGGCCUUCGGGUUGUAAAGCUCUUUUGGCGGGGACGAUGAUGACGGUACCCGCAGAAUAAGCCCCGGCUAACUUCGUGCCAGCAGCCGCGGUAAGACGAAGGGGGCUAGCGUUGUUCGGAAUUACUGGGCGUAAAGCGAGUGUAGGUGGUUGUCAUAGUCAGGCGUGAAAGCCUUGAGCUCAACUCAAGAAAUGCGCUUGAUACUGGGCAGCUAGAGGACCGGAGAGGAUAGUGGAAUUCCCAGUGUAGUGGUGAAAUACGUAGAGAUUGGGAAGAACACCAGUGGCGAAGGCGGCUAUCUGGACGGUUUCUGACACUAAGACUCGAAAGCGUGGGGAGCAAACAGG
rnacentral:rRNA from 1 species